UAGGUUUAGGCUUAGGCUUAGGCUUAGGCUUAAGCUCAGGUUCAGACUUAGGCUUAGGAUUAGGAUUAGGCUUAGGCUUAGGCUUAGA
ensembl:ncRNA F09C11.2 ncRNA